GGUGGCUGGGGUGGGGGGGGAGAGGGUAAGAUGGGGGGGCGAGAAUGAGGGCCCCGCCCCCGAGGACAACCAGGAUUGGGGGAGCAGAGAGCCUGUCAGAGGAAGGGUGGGAGGAGGGAGGAUGGAGGGAGGAUGGAGUGUUGUCAUGGCGACUGGCUCCCUGUAGCAUUGGCUGUCAGGAGGGAGGGGAGAGAGAGGAGGUGGGGGACAGACAAGACCAGCAGACCCUUGCAUGGGGGUUGACCCAGAGUCCCCAGUGCCUGGCCCUGACGCUGCUGUGACAUGCCACAGCACAGAUAUGUGUGCUACACGUCAAGAUGCAGAUGUCGAGCAUGCACAGUCCACACAGAGCUGACAUACGUUAUAGGGACUCUCAAAGACAAACACGGUACAUACAAAGGUGGACAGCCAUCAGCAGACGGGGACACAUACACGUCACACACAAAGACGCAGGAACAGGCCGCACUGAAAACACACAGGCAGGGUGCACAGGGCCACACAGGGACAUCAAAGCCUCACAAAGACCCACAUGCACCACAGACAAAGUCCGUCUUCAAAGCCACAGACACGUGUCACAGACAAAGAUCUACCCAGAUACCAGACACCAACAGGCAAAUAAGUGACAACACCCAGGAAUGCAAGCAUUAACAUACAUGGACACAAGUAUACAGAGACAUGCAGACAUGUCACACAAGGAACACACAGAGACAUACAGACACAUGCAUGCAGACAGGCACAUCGUAUAUGUGAGUGUGCAGAAACAACACAUGCGUGUAGACACAGAGAAGACACAUAUGACACACAUACUUCACUCCCCAGAAUACAGAUUCAUUACAUGUGCAGCUGCCCAUAGAUGCACACCUCUCAUACACGCAAAGCUAGACUCAUAUGAAAAUACACAAACACACGACACUCACCCAUGCAGACGCAUCACGUAUGAGUAUAUCCGAGCACACACAUCACACAGAUAACACAGGCGUGCAUAUGAGAGGCAGACCAAAAACGACACACAACAACCGGCUCAGACACAUGCACUGCAAAUGCACAAUACACACUUCACACAAGGUUACCAAGGCUACGGAGACUCCUUCCUGGCCAGUCACACAUCACACACGUACACACACAGGCACACAGGACAUGCCAAGAACACACAGACAGACAGGCAGCACUUCUCCCAGGAAGCUCACAGACCAUGACACUUGCCUCGUCACAAAAGAUACACGAUCAUCGUUUAUUUUAUUUAUUUAUUCUCCUGAGUGUUUACCCUGUGCCAGACGUGGUUCUCAGCGCUUUACACUUUUACCUUUUAAUCCUCCUCACAGCCCUCGGAGACGGGGACUUUUAUCAAGAGCCUACUGUACAGCCAGGGCACAGCCAGAGGGGUCACCCGCUCCGUGGCGCACAGCCCGCAAGAAUAGAGCUGGGACUGGAACCCGGGCAGGGACAGCGACACAUCAGACACUGCCACACACGCGCGCGCGCGUGCCAGGCUGCAGUUCCGGGGCUCCCCUCACCCCGAACCCUGAGCUGCACACACACCCGGAAGCGCGGGCCCCCGCCUUGGCGCGGACGUCUCCAUCGUCCGAUGGCACCUCGACGCGUCCCUUCGGCGACACGGACCCCGCCCUGCGCGCGCCCCCAAACCAGGGGCUGCACCCAGCACGCAACUGUGGCGCACAGGGCCCAUGCAGGACAGGCUGCCUCGCGGGGACUCUGGUCCGGGAAAUAGAGGAAGGUUCGCAGUGGGAGGCAGGGGGUGCCAAGCAUGACUGUAGGGCGCCGGCAUGGGGUGAAGAGGCGGGGUGAGGGCGAGGGGCGGAGCUGGCAGCUGCCCCGAGGCUGAAGGGCACUCAGCCGGGCAGAGCAGAGCACGUGGGAGGUGCAGUACGCGCUGAGGCUCACUGGAAAUGUAGUCUUGGUUCCUCCCGGAGGGAAUUUGGGUUGGGCGUCUCGCGGAGGAGGCAGAGACUGGAAGAGGUUGGAAGGGGCCAGGGUCCUUUUGCCUGGAUAUUUAGGACCUAUGAGGACAGCAAGAACCUCCUGUGGCUGCCUUAUCACUCGGAGUAGAAGCAAAGUGCUUACCAGGACCAUGAGACCCCACAAUGGCACCCCCCCUUUCUCCAGCCUAUUCUCCUACUGAACCCUAGCUCUGGUUACCCCAUCCAGCACAGGAGCCCCAGGACCUUUGCACUUGUCAUUCUCAAUACUGAGAGCCAUUCUUGGUUGUCUACCUGCUUUGUCCUCCUGUCCUUCCUGGUGGUUGUCUUCCCCCUCUAUUCAAGCCCCAUGUAGGCCCAGAGCUGUCUCUGUGUUUCCCACCCUUCCCAGUGCCUGACACACAGUAGGUGCCCAAUAAAUGUUUGCUGAAGGAAAAAACUAGAAGUCAUUUCCUGCUGACUGAUUUGCUGCUGGCUGAGGUCAAGGCCCCUUUCCCAUCUCUGAGCAGCAGCUGCUUGUCCUUUGUCCUCUUAAAGGAGAAGCAAAGCCAGGGUUACAGCAGUUUCCAUACAUGGCGUCCUCUGAGCUGACUCUACUAGGAAAUGGGGUGCAACAAGGCUGGGGUUGGAGACACAGGCAGUGCAAGGUCCAAAGGUGCUAAACAGCACAACAUUCAGGAAACAUCUGCCACCCACGUGCCCUGGGGACAAACCCAUGGUCCCUGUGGCACCUGGCUGCUUCUCACACCCCCAUGCUGCCCCACAGCCAGCUCUGCUGCUCAUGUUUCCCAGGCUCUGACCACUUGUGUCAUACCCGUGUACGUGGCUGGGAUCACUGCAGUAGCCCCUUCCCUGGCCCCUGGCCCCAUCCCAGAGUGUUGCCAGGAAGCCAUUUUUUGCCAUUAAAUGCUCCCUGGAUGUCCUGGAUCAUCGGACAGGUGAAAAUUCAGGUCUUCACACCCCACAAAGCCCUAAAAGACCUACCUUCAAUGCUUUGUUUCUGUUUUUGAGACGGGAUCUCCGUAUCAGUCCAGGCCGGCUUCGAACUCACAAGGAUUCUCCUGCCUCAGCCUCCCGAGUGCUGGGAUUACAAGCACACACUACCAUACCUGGCUUUAAUGUCCCACUUGGAACAUGGAUAUGCUGUGUGAUGAUCAAAUAUGGCAGUCACCAUAUCCAUGACUGCAGACAUUUAUCAUACUUUGCAAUGAUUCUUUUGUGAUUCAAAAUCCUGCUCCCUGUGAGCUAUUUCGCAACAUGCACUGCGUGAGUGUCAACCGCAGUCCUCCUUUGUGACUGGAGUGCCGAGCCCUAUUCAACCUCCUCAAUGUUGACUGGGUUCCAGGUGAUGGCCAUCUCUCCCUCCCACUCGGGAUUUUCAAGAUUCCACCUGUCAGUGAGAUCACACAGAGGUUUCUGCCUCUCCGUGCUUCACAAAAUGUCCUCUAGGUUGGUGCAUAUUGUUGAUAGAAUUUCCUGUUUGCUGGCUGAAUGGUGGCCAUUGUAGGCAUCCCUGGGUUUUCUUUAUCCAUUCAUGCAGUGAUGGGCGCCCAGGGCGUCUGCAUAGCUCUGUGGGUGGGAACAGGUGGCUGUGGGCAGGGCACAGUGGACACCUUUCCAGCACGUUGAGCUCAGUUACCUUAGGUGGAAGCUCAAGCGAGGGAUUGCUGCAUCUGUACCCUUGUCUUUUGAGACAGGGUCAUAUAUGUAGUUCGGGCUGGCCUCCAACUCACUAUGUUGCUCAGGCUGGCCUUGAAUUUGCAGCAACCUUCCUGCUUCAGCCUCCAGAGUGUCUGGAUUACAGGUAUGCACCACCAUGCCCAGCCCUGGAUUUCACCUAUUUAGCAAGAUUGGGACAUAUCUGUCUGCAGAGUCUAAAGCCACACCUAUAUCAUGCAGAGAUUUUCCAUCCUUAUUUACUUACUUGCCUGUGAUCAUUUAAAAAAGCCACAAAAAAUAGGAAGAUACUCCUGCUUUAUCAGAGAGGAUGCAUUAAUAAAAGGGGCUCUCUACCGCACAAAACAUUGUGCAGACAUUAAAAAGAAUGAGGAGCCAGGUGUGGUAGCUCACACCUGUAAUCCCAGCA